rnacentral:rRNA from 1 species
UACGGAGGGUGCGAGCGUUGUCCGGAAUCAUUGGGCGUAAAGGGUGCGCAGGCGGCCAAGUGUGUUAGGCGUGAAAGCCCGGGGCUUAACCCCGGAAUUGCACCUAAAACUACUCGGCUAGAGCAUUGGAGAGGGGAGCAGAAUUCAUGGUGUAGCGGUGAAAUGCGCAGAUAUCAGGAGGAACACCGGUGGCGAAGGCGGUUCUCUGGGCAUUACCUGACGCUGAGGAGCGAAAGUAUGGGGAGCGAACAGG